GGAGGUAAGAAUGCUGCACUGAAGAGCCAAGAAGAAUCUGAACAGACAGGACUUGCUGGGUUUAGAUCAUUCCCUUUUUGUCCAAUCACAUUUCAACAUGGUUGUCCAUGCUUCAGUCAUGCCUGUCCAAGAAGUCUUCAUAAAAGGCCCAAGAGGACAGGGUUCAGGGAGUUUUGGAGACCUGAACACAUGGAGGCUGACAGGAAGAUGGAGUAUCACUCUUGUUGUCCAGGCUGGAGCGCAAUGGUGCGAUCUUGGCUCACCGCAAUCUCUGCCUCCCGGGUUCAAGCAAUUCUCCUGCCUCAGCCUCCGAGUAGCUGGGAUUACAGGUUGCUGGCAGAGGUGGUUGGGGCUAUGUGCCUGGAGUGAAGAUUCUGCCCAUUGGUCAAGAGACCUCCCUCUCAGAUGCUGGCUCUGCCCCUGCCUUUGGGGGUCGACCCUUGUACU
rnacentral:lncRNA from 10 species